UGAACUAGAAAAGUAAACUCAACGAUGAAUAUUCUUACAGGAUUAAAACAAACUAAAAAUUAUUUCAGCAAUACAUAAGAAAAUCUCCGACAAGAAGUUUAUUAUUUGUUCCGUUAUUACACUUUCGCGAAACAAUAUGUCUUAAAACGUACAAUAAAGCUUCCAAAUAUUUUUCAGGUAGUAUCAGUAUUGUAAUUCUUAAAAUGUUGGAAAUAAUUAUUGGAAAAAAAAAGUCGUCUAGUACUGGCUCUUUACUUCGCACCUGUAACAAGUUGUUUGAUGACUAAAAAGGGUCUAGCGAAAUUACCCGCUGUCAUUCACUCAACCUUCUUGGUAUCCAAAAAUUCUUUCGAAAAUGGGUAGUCUAUAUAACCCUUAGGACUCAUCUUUGUAUAAAAAGUUGCGCGGUCCCAUUUGUUUAAGGGAAGGUUAUACUUGAGUCGGAAUGGGAGAUCUGGAUUUGAUAGAAAAUACCUCCCGAACGCUACUAAAGUGUUUUCUUGUUCAGCCAUUUGUAUGGCCGAGUCUCGGUCAUGUCCACCUGCAGUGAUAAAUGGAUCCCCCCAAAGGUUUUUGUAGAUCAAUGUAUUCUUUUCUUGCGUUAUAUGCACAUGCCCAUUCCAGUAUUGCCUAGGUUCGAUAGCAUGUAAAUAGGCCAAAUUAGGAAACCUCUCCUUUAUUUUUUUUAUCAUAAACACGUGUGCCUCAAAAGAAUCCUUGUCUUUCCAAAUAUCUGAAAACGGAGAAAUCCUAUAUCCAACGCGCUCUUGACCUAUGGCAUUCACGACAGACUCUAGAAGUUCAAGGCAAAAUCUAGCACGAUUUUCUAAAGACCCACAAUAUUCCGGAUCACAUUUGUCACCAUAGCCGUUUAGUACAAAUUUGUCCAAAAGAAAUCCAUUCACUUGAUGAACUUCAACACCAUCUGCACCACAACCGAAAACAGCUCGUUUCGCUGCUUCAGUAUACGUUGUGAUGUGUUCCUGUAUAUCUUGUUUUGUCAUAAAUUUAUCGACAUACAGCUCCUCUCCACAAAUAGAGUAGGCACUGCCUAGAGCAGCAGGCAAUCCGGUAGGAUCCAUUGGGCAUUCCCCUUGUGUAACUUUUUCCAACCUUUCCUGAUCUUCAAGAUAAUCGACCUUUAGCUCUCCAGGAAGGUUCCAAAACUGUAUAAACACAAAGCAAUCAUUGUCAUGGAUCGCCUGUACAAUUGGUUUCCAAGCUUCUACAUGUUCAUCGUUGUACAAGCAAGGGAUAUUACUAAAGCCUCCCGACUUUGCGCCUGAAAAUAAUGAUUCUGUAAUGAGUAAUGUGCCAGGAAUCGAACUGCGUUGCUUGUAGUAUUCCUUCACAAGAUCUGUCAUUACAAGGCCAUUAUCUAAGCAUCGUAGACGGGUAGCCGGUGCGUGAACCAUUCGAUGUUGAAGUUGCAUGUUACCAACCUUAAUGGGCUGAAACAAUUUACUCUGCGAUUCAUAUAACUUUUGAACAGCCAUCCUGGUGUGUAUCAAAGAAAAGAGCAGACCUGAUGGAGAAUUUUGAUCAAAAAAAAUUUAUUAGGUAGCGCUAAAGACGAAAAUACCUUGAAUAUCAAAAGGAAAAUAAUAAAAUUGAAAACUUCACAAAAGAAGUGAAGAUCUUAUAAAUCUUUUUGUGUAUGAAGUUUAGGAGGAAUUGAAAUAGAUGAACGGACUUGUAGCCCUGUAGCAGAGUUACCACGUGCGUGGAUCAAUCAAUAGGCAUGCAGCCGCACCAAUAGCACUACUAUAUUAUUCGCAGGAGUGAGAUUGGGAAAUGAUUAAAACAAUUGGAUUGAUUGACCUUGAAGGAAUACAGAAAAAUCGAGAAUGCGCCUAAAUUUUUUCAUUUACAGAUACUUGUCAGCUUAGCCUUUUGUCAAUGAUCUCCAAUAUCGGUAUUUCGCAGUUGUGUUUACCAACUGACGAUUCAUCAUAAGAAUUCAAAUAAUGAGUUUACAGACAUGAAGCUGAUCAACAUAUUUCUGUAUGACUAUGAAACACACUAGCACAAUUCAAAUAGAGGGAUUAUUGCAAAGUGGAUUGAUGCGAAAAUACUCCAAAGUUGUUUCAAGCCGUUUUUUGGUAUACAAACGGAAAAUUAGCAAUUUCAAUGAUUUUUGUACUUAAAAAUGUUAUACAUUCGACAUGAAUAUGAGUAACAAGAGAGCAGUAAAAUAAG